UCAAGAGGCAGGCAUGGGACAUGCAUUUAUUAGCUGGAUCAGGGAAGGUGGGCAUGGCCCUUGCAGCUCUUGCUGUUUCAUGCAGCUUUUCCAUUCAGCAGCAGAUGACUUCCUGGCUGUGGAAGAGGCAGCAACUCCCAUGGUGAUGUGUUUCUGUAAAGCAGCACUGGAAUCUUCAGAGAGCUCAAGUUGGAGUCUUUUUCUUUGAAAGGACACGGAAUUUGUGGGUAAAACCGGGUAUUUCAUCUUUCCUACUUGAAAUUAUGGUGAGCCUUUCUUUUGAAAAGACUUUCAUGAAGGAAUUUGGAACUUGUUGAGUAUGGCAAGAAGGAAAUAAAAUAUAAGAUAACAGCAUGGAGAAUUGAAUACAAGCCAACAACAAUAAAACCAUUACCAUAUAUGCAGGUGUCCUGAGGGAAAAAUAUGACGUGCAACUGAGAGAAACAUAGGUUCAAAAAAAUCCAGCAUUUUAUCUCUUUUUACAUGUGCAAUUUCCUAGAAGUUAAAAUCCAAAACUGUUUUCCUGGCACAGAAACUGGCAGUUAUGGAAAGCACAGGGUCCCAAGGAUAAAGGGGAAAAACUUCUUCCUUAAACGUCCAUCUGUGUUUUAAGAGAAUGAAAAGUUCUUUUAAAUAAGAUACUUGAAGCCGGGCACAGUG
rnacentral:lncRNA from 1 species